UACGAAGGGUGCAAGCGUUACUCGGAAUUACUGGGCGUAAAGCGUGCGUAGGCGGUUUGUUAAGUCCGUUGUGAAAGCUCUGGGCUCAACCUGGGAAUUGCAGUGGAUACUGGCGAGCUAGAGUGCGGUAGAGGAUGGUGGAAUUCCCGGUGUAGCGGUGAAAUGCGUAGAGAUCGGGAGGAACACCCGUGGCGAAGGCGGCCAUCUGGACCAGCACUGACGCUGAGGCACGAAAGCGUGGGGAGCAAACAGG
rnacentral:rRNA from 1 species